CCAAAGGCUCUUUUCAGAGCCACCUAACUUUUCAAAAAAAGUUGCU
rfam:Anolis carolinensis unplaced genomic scaffold chrTn0274, whole genome shotgun sequence.